GAUGAAGAACGCAGCGAAAUGCGAUAAGUAGUGUGAAUUGCAGAAUUCAGUGAAUCAUCGAAUCUUUGAACGCACAUUGCGCCCUUUGGUAUUCCUUAGGGCAUGCCUGUUCGAGCGUCAUUUAAACCUUCAAGCUCAGCUUGGUGUUGGGUGACUGUCCGCUUCACCGCGGACUCGCCUCAAAAUUAUUGGCGGCCGGUACAUUGGCUUCGAGCGCAGCAGAAACGCGAACUCGGGCCCGUCGUAUUGGCUCCCAGAAGCUAUCUUCACAAUUUUGACCUCGGAUCAGGUAGGGAUACCCGCUGAACUUAAGCAUAUCAAUAAGCAGGA
rnacentral:misc_RNA from 1 species